UGGCCGUAAACGAUGUGGACUUGGUGUUGGAAUGGCUCCGAGCUGCUCCAGUGCCGAAGGGAAGCUGUUAAGUCCACCGCCUGGGAAGUACGGUCGCAAGACUGAAACUUAAAGGAAUUGGCGGGGGAGGCACCGCAACGGGAGGAGCGUGCGGUUCAAUUGGAUUCAACGCCGGACAACUCACCAGGAGCGACGGUUACAUGAAGGCCAGGCUGAUGACCUUGCCUGAUUUUCCGAGAGGUGGUGCAUGGCGUAGUCGUGU
rnacentral:rRNA from 1 species